rnacentral:rRNA from 1 species
UACGUAGGGGGCUAGCGUUGUCCGGAUUUAUUGGGCGUAAAGAGCUCGUAGGCGGUGUGUCGCGUCGGCCGUGAAAACCUGCAGCUUAACUGUGGGCUUGCGGUCGAUACGGGCAUCACUGGAGUUCGGCAGGGGAGACUGGAAUUCCUGGUGUAGCGGUGAAAUGCGCAGAUAUCAGGAGGAACACCAAUAGCGAAGGCAGCUCGCUGGGACGUUUACUGACACUAAGGCGCGAAAGCGUGGGGAGCGAACAGG